GACAGAGGCCUCGAGCGUUAGGCGGAAUCACUGGGCUUAAAGCGUGUGUAGGCGGACCUCUAAGUACCUUGUGAAAUCCCACGGCUCACCCGUGGAACGGCUGGGUAUACUGGGGGUCUUGGGCCAUUCAGGGGCGACUGGAACAAGCGGUGGAGCGGUGAAAUGCGUGGAUAUCGCUUGGAACGCCGACGGUGAAAACAGGUCGCUGGGAAUGUGCCGACGCUGAGACACGAAAGCCAGGGGAGCAAACGGG
rnacentral:rRNA from 1 species